AACCUGCUCUUUAAGAAUCUCUAACAACUACGGGGAAAGUGUGACAACAAAGGUUUGUUUGUGCAGGA
rnacentral:lncRNA from 1 species